CAAUGAAAGAAGCAUAGUAAUGCGCACAUAAAUUAAAUUGGGUCUCUAGGCCUGCCCUCUCUGAUGUCAUUUGACUUUGAUUUGGAGGCGUAGUUUCGCAACAAAACA